rnacentral:rRNA from 1 species
GCGAUCCCAGGUCAGGCGGGACUGCCCGCUGAGUUU